ACGGGGUGCAGCAGGCGCGAAAUCUUCACAAUGUGCGAAAGCACGAUGAGGGAAUCCCAAGUGCUGGCACGUAAGUGUCAGCUGUUUCUUUGUCUAAAAAACAAAGAGAGUAAGAGCUGGGUAAGACGGGUGCCAGCCGCCGCGGUAAUACCUGCAGCUCAAGUGGUGGCCGCUAUUAUUGGGCCUAAAACGUCCGUAGCCGGUUUAGUAAAUGCUUGGGUAAAUUGUGUAGCUUAACUAUACGAAUACCGGGUAGACUGCUAAACUUGGGACCGGGAGAGGCUAGAGGUACUCCUAGGGUAGAGGUGAAAUUCUGUAAUCCUAGGGGGACCACCAGUGGCGAAGGCGUCUAGCUAGAACGGGUCUGACGGUGAGGGACGAAGCCCUGGGGCGCGAACCGGAUUAGAUACCCGGGUAGUCCAGGGUGUAAACGCUGCUUGCUUGAUGUUAGUUGGGCUCCGAGCCCAACUAGUGUCGGAGAGAAGUUGUUAAGCAAGCUGCCUGGGAAGUACGGUCGCAAGACUGAAACUUAAAGGAAUUGGCGGGGGGGCACAGCAACGGGUGGAGCGUGCGGUUUAAUUGGAUUCAACGCCGGAAAUCUCACCGGAGGCGACGGUUAUAUGAAGGCCAGGUUGAUGACCUUGCCUGAUUUUCCGAGAAGUGGUGCAUGGCCGUCGUCAGUUCGUACCGUGAGGCGUUCUGUUAAGUCAGACAACGAACGAGACCCUCAUCUUUAGUUGCUACUAGUAAGUCUGCUUAUUAG
rnacentral:rRNA from 1 species